rnacentral:lncRNA from 1 species
GUUUCUAUAAUCGACCUGUUUUGUGCUAUAUAAAACACUCGUGAGGUUUUUUUUUUUUAUUAUUGUUUGUUUUUGUUUUCUCUCUAGUCUGGUCUGUUCGGUGUAAUCUCGUGCCGAGAUAAGACGUGGAAUUUAGCCCUGAGCGAGGGACUUGCGUGGCUGUUCAAAGGGCUAAAAAGUGGGAAAGGUUGAUACCAAGACUUUCAUGAAGCAUGUUAUUAAAACAGAUGAAAAAUCAUAAUUUCAGUAAUAACCAAAAUCACCUUCCUGAUCUAAAGGUGAUAGUAGUACACCAUCCGUGACCGUGCGUGCUAGAUGACAACAUUCUGCCUUAGAAGAUAUAUAGUGAAUUAGCUCAGAUACGUCUCAGAUUGAAAGCACAAACACAGUAAGUUGCAAAGAUCCUGUCUUAAAAAGCAAAAUUAAAUUGAAAUUGGAAG